rnacentral:lncRNA from 12 species
GGGGGGGGGGGGGGGGGGGGGGGGGGGGGGGGGGGGGGGGGGGGGGGGGGGGGGGGGGGGGGGGGGGGGGGCCGCGGGGUCACUGGGCUGAGCCCCCCGGGUGUGUCGUCUCCGACCAAAGUCUGACCCUGUCGCCCGCUCCCCGCGGCGAAGCCCCGCUGCCCCCUUGGCCUCCCCGGCUGCCCAUAGAAGCCACAGCUGCAUCCUCGCCAUGACCAACUCUGUGUAUGAUAUCUAUGACCUGAACACGUCCCUGUGUGUGACCCGCAGGACACCUCCCCGGGGCUGUUGGCGCAGCCCCGGCGCCGCGCGUGUCCCUGCGCCCCUCUCACAGACCCCAGGCGAGGGGCGAUGGUCCAGGAGCGGAGGUAAGUUGGGAAGGGUCUGAGGGAUGGUCGCCCUGAGGCUUGUAAGCACCCGCAAACACACUGUCCCCCACUCCGGGGCUGGGGGUGAGCACGGCCCCACGUCCCCGUAGGCAGCGCUAGGACGGAGGCAGGCGCUGGAGCCCGAGCCCUGGGGCUGGGGCAGGCACCUGCCCAGUGUACCAGGUGCCUGUGUGUGUGCCGUGCGUGCGUGCGUGGGCGUGGGUGCGUGUGCAGGUGUGUGUGUGUGUGUGUGUGUGUGUGUGUGUGUGUGUGUGCGCGCACGUGUGCCUCGCUGCCUCGCACUCUGGAGCCUUCCACAUUGAAUGUACCGCGAGCGCGGGGCCCGCGCCAGCCCCGCACCCUGCGGCCGAGCAGCCGCAGGGACAGGGCCCCACUCCAAGCGUCCACCUCCCCAUCCAGCCCAUCCUGUGCAAUAAACGUCAGCAGCUGACAGAGCUACGCACGACUCCGGCUCUGCUUCUUCGCCACCGUCGCUCCCUGCCGCGCCUCCUGCUCCUCGUGCCCGGCCCCGGGAGCUGGAACAUUGGGCACAGCCCCAGCUCGGGCUGCGGGAUGCAGCUUUGUCCUUUGAAGAGCUGCCUGCCUUGCCAGGAAAGCCACAAGGUGAAAAGCCUCUGCCAG